rnacentral:lncRNA from 1 species
CGGGAAGCACAGAUACAAUUGAGGACAUCAUCCUCUUCGUCUUCUUUAUCUUAUCCAAAUGUUCUUGCUGUCUUCUCCAGAUACUCUCUUCCCUGCUCUCUCCACAUACUUGCCCCCUCUGACUUAGGCAUCGGAGGGCCGGCGCCGGGGAGCCCGGCCACCGGUUUUCCUUGCAGGACUUGCACACCCCCCCGCAGCGGAGGGCGCAGCCGGCCGGCGCACCGCCGUCCGCCCCCUGUAGCAGCGGAGCUCCUCCUUCCCCGGCUUCGCGGCGGCCCCCGGGUCCAAUUUCCAGCAACAA